UGCCGGCACGGCGAUUUCCGUUCUUUGGGAACAACGGAAAUAAAAGUUCUGAAAAAGCACCUGCCAUCGGGGUAGCUGCAGGCAGGGGGAGAUAGACCGCCCUGGCGUGUUGCUAAAGCUGCUGGCUCGGGAAAGUCAGCUCUGGAGCAUCUCGGCUGCAGCAUCUUCCCCGUCCUCUGCCGUGUGACGCACUGUAUCAGGCACGCCACAUCGCAAAUGCUGCGGGAAGGUAGGAAGAAAGUUUUCUCUGAUGGACACAUUAGGCAGGAAAGGACAGGAUGCCAAUCCGCGCACAGGUAAAACAGGUUAGAAAAGCGUUUUUAUGUUUAUGUUUCCUGUACAGUUCAACAAUGAAGUAGCUCAUUUUGAACUGAUACAAAGGUCAUUGAAGUCAGACAGCUCUUUGGUAAGUCCUUGUGGUUUAGUAUAUUAUUCUGGUUGACAUCAGAUGCUUAUUGAUGAUAUUUUAAUAUGAGGAUUUUUACUUUUACCAAAGCCUACUUAGUGUAUUAGUUUCUGGAGUGCAUUAAAGUUACUAAGCCUAGAGCUCAUUUGGUAAAUAUUUAGAAAAAAAGAAGCCUGCUGCUUUUCAUCCUUCCCUGUGAUUGUAUCGCAGGACACUGCAAAUCAGCUUCUGCUUUCUUCACGUUAAAUGUUUUAUUUCAUGUGAUGUGUUUCUGAAUAAUUUAUAAUUAAAGUGCUUUUUUACCUUUUCCCUCUACUGUAAAAGCUCUUGCAUGCGCUCUCCGUUGCAUGCAGUACAGAAAACAAUGUUAAUUUUCAGAAACGUUUGCAUGCUGUCGCAGGGAGCUGCAAGAGGAAGAGCAAGGAUUACGGUUAGGACCAAUUCCACACGCGAGUCAUGGCCAUAUACAGCACGUGUUGGGCUCUUGGCGCGUUGCAUAGGAAAGAUACUGUAUGUGGGUGCAGGGGGGACCUUACUUGGCCGUCGUUCCCCUCCCAGCCCCUCUCUGUGCUCUUGUAGCUGCUCAGUAUGGUUCUAGUUCAGUUGCCCCGAGAAAUGAGUCGAAGAUCCAGGAUUUUCUACAUGUGAAGCUGCUUUCUGUUGGAAGGGGAGAAAGACCAGGGGGUGGACAUCGCCCUGGGGUCGCCCUGCUGAUGGUUCCCGAAGCGGCAGUGGCGGCGCUGUGUUGGGGCACGUCUGCCCUGGGUUUUGGCAGGGAUUUAACUAAACUUGUUGAAAACGGUGUUUAAAGAGGUGCAGUCUUCUAAGGUGGUUGCAGCGGCAGGUGUAAAUGUGUUUGUACAAAAUUCACCUUCUAGUCAACAGCCUAAUUCAAACCCUUUCCUGUUGUUAUAGCUGAGAAAGCACUCUAGGAAUUGUACUAAUCUAACUGGUUUUUUCUCUUUUUCUUCAAAAACGACUUGGCUAAAAAAAGGCUAAAUGUGAAUUCAGCAAGUCCGUUGCUUCGCGCAGCCCUGUGUUUCCCGCGCGCCCUAGUCACAGCGAAGGCGGAACGGGAGGGUGAAGCGCUCGUGCGGCGCUAGCGCGGGGCAGGCAGAGCUGGCGCGGCAGGAGGCUCGCGAGGAGGCGGGACGGCUGUGACGCACGUACCGCUUGGGGGCCCAAAACUGCCUAUAUGUUAUGGUUACGCUGGCCACGUUAAAGCACCUAUGGGGGAAAGCGUAGCCAGAAUUAAUAAUCACAAACAGUGGCGAUUAGUGUAAUUAGUGAAUAACAGCAUCGCUGUUUGCUCUGGGGCAGUGACUUUCUGCCGCCCACGUCGUCCUUGCCUUUUACUGACAAAGAAAAGCUGUUUCUGCGUGGAAUAAAAGAUUCUGCCGAGCUUCAGGAGCUUCGUUCAAAAUACGCAGCGCACGUUUCAGUUGCUGCUUUUAUUACAUUGGCAAUGUCGAUUUGAAACAGGAGUGGUUAUUUCUGAAGUCAAAUCCUGACCCGGGGACGCUGGUAAGAAUUUUGUCGUCGGCUUCAAAGGGGGCAAGAUUUGAUCCUUGAUAAUGACAGGGACUUGUUUUCUAAGCCGGUUUUGAAACAACUACUAUUGGUCAGACCACAGUGUUAUGUAUAUAUGCUCAAAUCAAUUUUAUUCAGAAUAAGCAACAGCUGAAGGUUUUGGGUUUUUUGCAUUCAUACUGUUGCAUCUAUGCAGAUGUUAAAAUUGUAAUUUUUCUGUUCGGAGCUGAAAUGUUGACAUGGGAACUUCUUAGAGGUUUAGACAAACUUUCACAUCUUCUCCCAAGAAAUACGAGAUUCGUAUUUCGUAUAUUCGAAUAUAUAUAUAUUCGUUCACUUGCCGUGAACCUAAAACACCCCUUGCCCGCCUCCCCAGGAGCAGGAGCGACCCGAGGUCUAGAAGAGCUCCCAUGGGAGCAAACCGAAUAGCCGAGGAGUCCCCGACCGAGAGGGGCACCCGAGCGGGGAUGCCGCGGCCGGCU